rnacentral:rRNA from 1 species
AUUGAACGCUGGCGGCAGGCCUAACACAUGCAAGUCGAGCGAGCGGCGGACGGGUGAGUAAUGUAUGGGGACUGCCCGAUAGAGGGGGAUAACUACUGGAAACGGUGGCUAAUACCGCAUACUAUCGGAUAACCCAUAUUGGAUUAGCUAGUAGGUGGGGUAAAGGCUCACCUAGGCGACGAUCUCUAGCUGGUCUGAGAGGAUGAUCAGCCACACUGGAACUAAGACACGGCCCAAAAUCCUACGGAGGCAGCAGUGGGGAAUAUUGCACAGUGGGCAAAAUCCUGAUGCAGCCAUGCCGCGUGUAUGAAGAAGGCCUUAGGAUUGUAAAGUGCUUUCAGCAGUGAGGCGUUACCCGCAGAAGAAGCACCGGCUAACUCCGUGCCAGCAGCCGCGGUAAUAC